AACAAGGCCUAUCUUGUGCACCACCGUCCUAUUCCCUCUUGCUGCACUGCCAAUUAAUGAGGUUGAGCCAUAGCAACGAUGUUAUUGUCUCCGUUUCUAGAACGAGAACAGAAAUAGAAAUUUAAGGUAUUAUUUUAUAAUAUAAAGACAAAAAUAUUCGUGUUUUCGGAACGUAGACAUUUCUAAAAUGAGAGACACGAAAAAAAACGUGGAUCAUAUUUUUGUUCCUAGACUGCUAAGUCGAGCACCUAAAGUUCUUCUCCUCCCGCUGCGCCGAGACUGACCACCAAGGCCAUCUAACCGCCCCUCCACAUUGAGGUCAUCAUACAUAGUGAGCCCCUCAUCCCGCCACUAGGCAGGGACAAGAGCAGGGGAAUAGGCGAGGAAAAAUAAAAAAUAAAAAUAGUAGGGACCGGAGUUAAAAGAAUUAUGGCAACAAAAGUAAAAAGUAUGAGCCGUGCAAAUAAAAACAACAAACGUCCAUCUUGAGUGUAUGGAUUACAUUACGGACGCCAAACGAAACACGGGAAACCAAAUUACAUGGACAACAGGCCAGCAUUUACAUAUGUAUAAGGAUGCAUGAUCUCUCUAAUGCAUGGUUGAUCGCUAUAUAUAUAUACAUAUAUACUGAUGUAGCCUCGCCGUUGUAUCAUCAUGCAUGAGGUAUAUAUACAUACAUAUAUAGGAACAUUAACGUACGGGGACGUCAAAAAUACGACUUGCUAGCGUCCUUGGGUCCCUUCUGUGCCUGGGCGG
rnacentral:lncRNA from 1 species